CAUUUUGUUUCGUUGAUGUUGAGAGGUGAAUCAUAUUAGAUGAUUGUAAUUGAUAUUGUGUUAACAUUGUCUUCAGUGUCAAUAACGUAUUCCCUGAAGUGAGUCUGAACUUCGCCGGUGGUGCAACGUUGGUUUUAAACCCUGAGGACUAUCUUCUCCAGCAUAAUUCUAUUGGCGGUGUUGCAGUUUGGUGCAUUGGCUUUCAGAAAAUCGAGGUUCAAAGUAUAACAAUUUUAGGAGGAAAUGUCUAAUUGGGAGAGAAUUCCAUUGCAUCCACAUCUCCUACUUUUAACUCUCCACAACUAUCAACCGAGAAAAGUCCAUCACCGAGUUCUGAAGGAAAUUCAAUUCCUACAUUAAGUCAACCUAAUGUUGUGGUUGAAAAAUGUGUCAAGCGCAUGCACUUCAUCAAGUCUAUGGGCCGAAGAAGAAUCAAACUCAAAUGAAGGAAAAUUUUAUGAAGAUGAUGAAAUCGAACAAGAUGAGAUAAUUGAUUUGAGGGGUUAGCUAAGAUUGAAGAAUGUGAACUUGUGAAGCCGAUGAUAAUGGA